CAGGAAACCUUAUGUCCUUGCAUGUGAACCGAAGUACAGCUCUGUCGUGGUCAUGGUUGUGCUCAUUAUUCUGGCAAUAAUUUUCUCUCAACCCUCUGCAAGCAAUAACUAAUAUGGGCUCCGUGGGAACACCAGCAAAUCAUAGAGAUUUUUUUGAUGCAGAUGCAUAUAUUUAUUUAUGCUUUUAUAUACGUUUUGCAAUUUGUCCUUCUCCCUCAAAUAAAGGGAAAUAAGUACAACAUCUCACUUUUCUUAAAAUUCAUUUCAGCCCCAACUUACUAAUUCCACAUUCUGUCGUUCCUUACUCCUGGAAAAUCCAUCUUUGAGCUGAUACGUUUGAAUAACUCACAAUAUAGAAUGGAUUAGGAUCAUUAGCAUUUGCACUUGCAACUCCAGUUUUGCAUUAGUUGUUUGUACAUCUACUUCCAAACCUUAGUAAACUCUUGAAACUACGUGCAUUAAUAUCAUAUCAUGCCAAAUUGCUGAGAGUUUGAGGAAAAAACAAUAGGAUUGAAAGAUAGAGAAAGAAAAGGAAACUAAGCAGUUCCCAUAUCCAAUUACGUGCUGAAUUGCUCUAUUUGUCAUUAAAGGAGCUAACUUCUUCACAGAUUGAGCUCCUAACAGAUUUGUGCUUGUUUGCACAAUGCAGGCCGGACAAGAUCUCAAAUUCAUAAGUUUGUUAAUGAUCGGAUGCUUUUCAGUGGGUGCUUUGUUGCUCUUGUAAAGGGUAUGGAUUGCCAGGUUGCUGGUGCGCACUUGUUGGAUUUCAAUGGUGUAGAAGAAAGGGGCAAAUAAUUGGAAUGGCCGUGGCUCUGUGACUUUGUCCGGCAUCCUUAUAGCCAAAAAGCAUGGGUCCACUGGAACUUCAAAUGCAUUGAUUGAUUCUUUGUUCCAUCAUAUCAUAAUUCUUCUUUUUCGGGUCAAGAAAGAUAACCGGUCGAUGCUGGUAUUCUCUUUUAUUUAGUUGAAUUCCUUGUCAAUAAUUCAUUUUCCUCUGUUGAUAGUUUUCUUCGUUUUGUAUUCUCUUUGAUGAAUGACAAGCUUGUUUAUUAUUAUUACGUUCAUUUGCCUUUAUUAAACUAAAAAU